GAGUUGUUGACUAACAUGUGAUCCUGCUGUGCAACUUCUGUCAUUGAGGAUCAGAUCUAAAAGGCCAUUUAGAAUUAUUCUUGUCUCUUAAGAAAUUUUAGCACAAAAUCAUCAGCCUCUAACUCUGGACCUCCUGUGUCUCUGCAUAACAAGCAAAAGAGUGGCACCAUCUGGUUUUAUUGUGAGGUAUAACUAUGCCAGGCAUUUUUUACAGUGCUUGUAAUAUUGCAGAGUACCUUUAGAAAUAACGUACGUGUAUGUGUUUUAAUUAAAGCAUGUUGUUGACUCAUUUGAACUUCAAACCCUUGAAAGAGGAGCAGAACAUAGUUUCCCGGGAUUUGCUAAGAAGUGGUUUUCUCUCUCUGCAUAAUGACACAUUGGUAAAGCUACAGAAGGUAUUUGGAGAAGAAAACCAUUAUGAGCCUCUGUUUCUGGAGGUGUUUAAGGAAUUUUCUUGCUUUUCUCGAAGUAUUUGGUGGGAUGGAAGUAGUAGGAGGGACCAUUAUAGUCUCAGUGCACUGGCUGUGUUGCAGCUGUUGGGUGUGACUCCAUAGUUUCCUGAGAAAGUGCAGCCUUCCUGGGUCCCUAGCUUUUUGGUUUGGGUUUUUCUUACUCAUCUGGGCUGCAGAGUUAAUGUAUUCAUGUGUGAUACAUGCUGCCCAAUUUAUCCUAAUCUCAACCGGUGAGAACAUAAAUCACAGUAUUUCUUUUUACUUGCAGUGGUCACCAGUGAGUUAGUGUCAUGAUAUAUGAAAUGAGUUUUACAUUAAUUUGAAAUCUUCUUAGGAAUGUCAGUGGCUCUAGGGCUUAAUAGAAGCUUCAUGAAGGUUUGGGGAACCAGUCCUGGGAACUCAGGAAAAACUAACUUCUCCUAAGCUUGGGGAGCUGCUCCCAAAUCUUGCCAUUAGUUGCUUUCCCGUGUAACAAGGUAACAGUAGGUGUAAGGCACGGUUUCAAUGCGAACUUAUUUUUUAAUAAAACCUCCCCAGGCUUUUUGGUUACAACAUAUAUAAUACUAAUUUAGAUGUGCAUGCAGCAACCCAUAAAAAUUCUAGGACCACUCUGGAGAUGGUGACCUGCGCAGACCAGUUAACAUUAAUGUUCACUUUGUUGAUGUUCAACAUCAAUCAAAAUUUUCUAGAAUGCCUGUGAAAACAUAGCUCCAAAUUAAAAUCCAUUUUGUAGCAGUACCAAGUCAAAAGGAGCCUGCAGAGCUUUGCUUUUUGGCUGCCCAUUAGUUUUCCAGAUCGAUAAGCAUGUAAGAAUUCAAUCAAAUAGUACUUUGGCAGGAUCUGAGAAUGAUUUCUUUUUUAUUAACACUAGGUACUUUUCUCCUAAAAUCCAUUCUAUUAAACAUCAACAUAGAGCACAUUUUCAUAGCUAACUUUUGGGCAAAGUAAGAUAUGUUACCAGAGUACAAGGUUUUUCAGAACUGUCUUGGUAGACUGAAACAGCGUACUUCUGUCUCAAUCAAGUGUUGACCUUAGGGUAAGGAGCUCUUCUUGAAUUUGGCUUAUAUACAUAAUAUAUUCUAACUUUCAGGUGCUUACACUCAAGACAGUUCUGGGAAAUUAUCCCCUGAUUUUAUAAGGUAAAGCAGGGUAAAGUACAGGGCUUGAUGUAUGAGGUACAUGUGUAGAAUAUCACUGUUUAUGCUAUGGAAUAAGUUAGAAGAAGAAAUAAGCAUCACUUGUACAAGGAAGAAUGAGAUUGCCCUUUGUGGAGCCUCAGUCCUGCUGACCUGUGAGACCUCACGGGCUUUGGAGAUGUAUGUAAGUGGGGAAGAGGAUGGAGGGAAGCAUACACCAACUUUCAUACCAUCCCAGCCUCCAUAAUUGGAAAGAUAAAUGCAUUUUUCCUUAGCCAGAAAAGAUGCCCAGUAGCAGAAACCAGAAUUUACCUGCUUCAGCUCAAGGGCUUAACCAAAAUUUUGGACUCUUACACAGGUGUUUUUAGUAAAGAGAGACACAGGUGACAGUAGUGUUCCCUUGACGAUCUCACCUGUUAAUAAGGGAUGUAAAAACUACUGGCCCCUUAAACCCAGCAGAAAUAAAACACAGAUG